UACGGAGGGGGCUAGCGUUGUUCGGAAAUACUGGGCGUAAAGCGUGCGUAGGCGGCUUGGCAAGUCAGGGGUGAAAUCCCAGAGCUCAACUCUGGAACUGCCCUUGAAACUGCCGAGCUAGAAUCUUGGAGAGGUCAGUGGAAUUCCGAGUGUAGAGGUGAAAUUCGUAGAUAUUCGGAAGAACACCAGUGGCGAAGGCGACUGACUGGACAAGUAUUGACGCUGAGGUACGAAAGCGUGGGGAG
rnacentral:rRNA from 1 species